AAGUCGUAACAAGGUUUCCGUAGGUGAACCUGCGGAAGGAUCAUUACAGAAUAAACCUGAUGAGUUGUUGCUGGCCCACUCCUGUGAGCAAGUGCACGCUUGUCAUUUUUAUAUUUCCACCAUGUGCACCUUGCAUAAGUCUGAAGGUCUUGAUAUUCGAUCAGAGCAUGCUUUGAUUGUUUGGAAUCUGUCAUUAACCCUAAUGGCUUUUUCUGACUUCAGUGCUUAUGAUUUAUUUAAAUACACCAACGUAUGUUUAAAGAACGCUUUAUUAGGCUAUGUCAGCCUAUAAAUUUAUAAUACAACUUUCAGCAACGGAUCUCUUGGUUCUG
rnacentral:misc_RNA from 1 species